AUCUUUCUAAUAUUAAUAAAGUAUACGUGGCUUCCAACCACCCAGUCUUGGUCAAAAUCCAAGGAAAGAUA
rnacentral:tRNA from 1 species